ACGCUCGACACCUACGGAGGCAGCAGUGGGGAAUAUUGCGCAAUGGGGGAAACCCUGAUGCAGCGACGCCGCGUGAAGGAAGAAGUAUCUCGGUAUGUAAACUUCUAUCAGCAGGGAAGAAAAUGACGGUACCUGACUAAGAAGCCCCGGCUAACUACGUGUCAGCAGCCGCGGUAAUCUGAGCGGGCUGGCAAGGC
rnacentral:rRNA from 1 species